CCUACGGGUGGCAGCAGUGAGGAAUAUUGGUCAAUGGUCGGGAGACUGAACCAGCCAAGCCGCGUGAGGGAUGAAGGUACAGAGUAUCGUAAACCUCUUUUGUCAGGGAACAAAGGCGGGGACGCGUCCCCGGAUGAGUGUACCUGAAGAAAAAGCAUAGGCUAACUCCGUGCCAGAAGCCGCGGUAAUACGGAGGAUGCGAGCGUUAUCCGGAUGUAUUGGGUUUAUAGGGUGCGCAGGCGGUCUGUUAAGUCAGCGGUCAAAGCCCGGGGCUCAACCCCGGCCCGCCGUUGAAACUGGCAGUCUGGAGUUGGAGAGAAGUAUGCGGAAUGCGCGGUGUAGCGGUGAAAUGCAUAGAUAUCGCGCAGAACUCCGAUUGCGAAGGCAGCAUGCCGGCUCCACACUGACGCUGAGGCACGAAAGCGUGGGUAUCGAACAGGAUUAGAUACCCCUGUAGUC
rnacentral:rRNA from 1 species